rnacentral:misc_RNA from 1 species
GAAAUGCGAUAAGUAAUGUGAAUUGCAGAAUUCAGUGAAUCAUCGAGUCUUUGAACGCACAUUGCGCCCCCUGGUAUUCCGGGGGGCAUGCCUGUCCGAGCGUCAUUGCUGCCCUCAAGCACGGCUUGUGUGUUGGGCCGUCGUCCCCCACCCCAGGGGACGGGCCCGAAAGGCAGCGGCGGCACCGCGUCCGGUCCUCGAGCGUAUGGGGCUUCGUCACCCGCUCUGUAGGCCUGGCCGGCGCCUGCCGACGACCAACUCUUCAGAAGUUGACCUCGGAUCAGGUAGGGAUACCCGCUGAACUUAA